rnacentral:rRNA from 1 species
UACGUAGGGUGCAAGCGUUAUCCGGAAUUAUUGGGCGUAAAGAGCUCGUAGGCGGUUUGUCGCGUCCGCUGUGAAAACUCGGGGCUUAACCCCGAGCCUGCAGUGGAUACGGGCAGACUAGAGGUAGGUAGGGGAGAAUGGAAUUCCCGGUGUAGCGGUGAAAUGCGCAGAUAUCGGGAGGAACACCGGUGGCGAAGGCGGUUCUCUGGGCCUUACCUGACGCUGAGGAGCGAAAGCGUGGGGAGCGAACAGG